rnacentral:lncRNA from 1 species
AUGUGCCACUGCAGAGCGGGCCCAGCAGGUGCUCACUGCAUUGAGGAGCAACUCCCCGAGCUGCGCUGCCACGGCUGUUCAUGGGGCAGAGCGGGGACACCAGCAAGGAAGGGGGGCUCCUCAGCAGGCCCCCAUUGCAGGACAACAUGGGGCCAUCGCAGCCAGCACCUCCCGGCAGCAGCUGCUGCUCAGAGGUGGAAGGAGGGCAGGGAGACGGGCCGGGCAGCUGCUCCGUGUCCUGCCACCGCCACAACGUGUCACAGCGGCUGGGGGGGCUCACGCAGCUCCGGGCUGGCAGAUCUGAGCUGCUUCCUCGUGCUGGGCGCUCAGAACGGAGCAGUGCGGGCACAGCAGAAGGGAAGAGGCGCCGGGAGCUGCGCUGUGCCCCCAUUCCCCACCGGGACCGUGGCUGGAGCCCCCAGAAGGGUCUGGAAGGUGCCGGAAGGAGCACGGCGCAUUGCCCGGCCUGCACUGCAGGAAUGUGGGGGCAGCGGGCUGGGAGCACCGCGCCGUGUCGCUGCUCUGGACGCGUGGGACCCGCGGUGGGGCUCAGCUUUCAGAUCCAGCUUUCACCCAACGCUAUUUUUAAUUGCUCUUUCCCAGAAGGACCCACAGCCCCGUUUGCUGCCGGCCGCCCCGAAGCUGCUUCCAGUUGGGCGCCGUCGGUGCCGCUCGGGGCUGUUAUUUUUAGCCGUGCUGGAGGCACCGGCUCCGGGCACGGCUCGGUGGGGCCGAGCAGCUCGUCCCACGGCCCCGGGGGGCAGCGGGGGCGGCGCGGUUUUACGGCCGCCUCGGUGUUUUCUUUCUGGCGCUUUUCGGGUUCCUUUCAUCUCCGCGCUUCACGCUGUGCGGAAAGGAAGACCAAAGGCGGAGGAUGGAAGCGGCGGUCAUCGCCGGAGCCGGGACACGGCGGAACGGCGGCUGCUUUUAAUUAAAAACCAUUCGCUGGCAACGUCGAAAGGCGCCCUCGGUGCUGCGGCCGCGGCAGGGCAGGAGGGGAAGGGAUGGACGGCAGAGCCCGAGCCGGGCACUGCCCCACAGCGCCCCGCAGCCCGGCCCUGCCGUGCCCCAGAACCACCACCCCCGGCCCACACCCCUCCCCACGUGUCUCUAUUCGCCCCAGCACCGAUUUCUGCCCCACGGAGCUCCCUGGGCCCACGGCUCAGCCCCACACAACGGGCCGUACCAGCCGUGCCCGCACUCCCCGCACCGCCCCCAGCUCCGUCCUGA